GUUUUGACGUCUAUCAUAUUGUUCUCUAUCCUAACCUCAUUUGUGACUUCAAAUACGUUUAAUAUUGAAGAUGAAAUUCGAAAAUUUGAUGUUCAACGUCCAAAAAGUAUAGAUUUGGAGCAAGAUUCAAAGUUUGAGGUUAUAGAUCUUAAAGAUGAAGUUGUAUCAACAACACUAGUUGCAUAUAAUCAAAAAGAUGUAAUUACAACUGAAAUGGUACCCACAACUCCAGAGAAUACAUUUAUAUCUUUGCAAAAUCACAUUUUAAGUAUUAAAAAUGUGAUUGUUAAUUCAAUCUUACCAAUUACAAUGAUGAUACCGUUUUUAUCAGUUUCUAACUUGUUGUGGUUAUUGGUAAUGUUACUGUUGCCGAUUAUCAAGAAAAACAGUGAAUCUGGAUGGUUUUUUGUUUAAUUUUUUGAAUAAUUUUUAUUUUAAACUUAUUUAGGUUAAAUUUUUUAAUUAAAUAUAUGUAUAACUUUCGCCAAAAAUAAAAUUGCUUGAAUUAUGA